rnacentral:tRNA from 1 species
AGAGCGCGUCACUGAUAAUGACGAGGUCCCAGGUUCAAGUCCUGGCAGCCCCACCAAG